UACGUAGGGCGCAAGCGUUGUCCGGAAUUAUUGGGCGUAAAGAGCUUGUAGGCGGUUUGUCGCGUCUGCUGUGAAAUUUCGGGGCUCAACCCCGAACUUGCAGUGGGUACGGGCAGACUAGAGUGUGGUAGGGGAGACUGGAAUUCCUGGUGUAGCGGUGAAAUGCGCAGAUAUCAGAGGAACACCGGUGGCGAAGGCGGGUCUCUGGGCCGAUACUGACGCUGAGGAGCGAAAGCGUGGGGAGCGAACAGG
rnacentral:rRNA from 1 species